rnacentral:lncRNA from 1 species
GUUUUAGAAAUCCAAAACUCUUUCAAUUUUUCACCGAAUUUAUCCAAAUUUUUUUGAAAUUUUUAUGGCUUUUAGGGUUUACAUUGUACACCCUUUUCUGGUGAUCCAUGCACGAAAAUAUGGAGGAGGUGCUCAAGAGUUGGGCGUCCCUUAACUUGCCAUGUUUGGAUAAGCCUUGACUAGGUGUUUGACCUAGACAAAGACUCUAUCAUAUCUCUCUAUAUAAGAUGAGUUUCUUCAUGAAAUUAUAAGGGGAAGAUAGAUAUUUGAGAGACCUUUCUGCCAUCCAAAAAUCAGAGAGAAAUACCUUUGGGUCGUGGUGAUAUAAUAGACGCAAGUUUGGGUGUCUAGAGAGAAAAACGUGAAGAAGAAGAGGGUCUUCUUCUAGGGUUUUUAUUUUUAUAUCUUUCCUCCUUCCAUCUUGAGUUUCCUGAGAGCGUCUCAGAUAUGAAACUCCUCCUUCUACUUUCCAUCUUUGGAAGAGUCCAAAUCAAGAAGAAGGA